UACGGAGGGCGCAAGCGUUACUCGGAAUCACUGGGCGUAAAGAGCGUGUAGGCGGAUAGAUAAGUCAGGAGUGAAAUCCUAUGGCUCAACCAUAGAACUGCUCUUGAAACUGUCUAUCUAGAAUAUGGGAGAGGUAGAUGGAAUUUCUGGUGUAGGGGUAAAAUCCGUAGAGAUCAGAAGGAAUACCGAUUGCGAAGGCGAUCUACUGGAACAUUAUUGACGCUGAGACGCGAAAGCGUGGGGAGCAAACAGGAUUAGAUACCCUGGUAGUCCACGCCCUAAACGAUGUACACUAGUUGUUGUGAGGCUCGACCUUGCAGUAAUGCAGUUAACACAUUAAGUGUACCGCCUGGGGAGUACGGUCGCAAGAUUAAAACUCAAAGGAAUAGACGGGGACCCGCACAAGCGGUGGAGCAUGUGGUUUAAUUCGACGAUACACGAAGAACCUUACCUGGUCUUGACAUACUAAGAACCUUUAAGAGAUUAGAGGGUGCUAGCUUGCUAGAACUUAGAUACAGGUGCUGCACGGCUGUCGUCAGCUCGUGUCGUGAGAUGUUGGGUUAAGUCCCGCAACGAGCGCAACCCUCGUCGUUAGUUGCUAACAGUUCGGCUGAGAACUCUAACGAGACUGCCUACGCAAGUAGGAGGAAGGUGAGGACGACGUCAAGUCAUCAUGGCCCUUACGACCAGGGCUACACACGUGCUACAAUGGGGUAUACAAAGAGCAGCAAUACAGUGAUGUGGAGCAAAUCUCAAAAAUGCCUCCCAGUUCGGAUUGUAGUUUGCAACUCGACUACAUGAAGUUGGAAUCGCUAGUAAUCGUAGAUCAGCUAUGUUACGGUGAAUACGUUCCCGGGUCU
rnacentral:rRNA from 1 species